CACAAGACAGCUUAGGUAACCUGAACACAGCAUUUACUAAGCUGGCAGAACUUGGAAGACUCCCUCUUGCAAUCAAUCUAAAAGGACUCUGUCAGAACUGGACGUACAGGGCUCUCCAGGAAACCAUACCAGAACAUGCGCUGGCUUUAGAACAAGUGGCUUAUCUUAUUUUCAAGGUGCUUUGUUUAUCCAGAUGAACGAGGGCCUCCCUUUCCCAAGAUUCUUUCUGCAUCAUGGGGAGUAAUGAAGAGGACUUGUCAUUGCCUCCAGCUGCCAUUUAAAACUGUCUCUGCUCCCUGCAGAAAGCAGUGUAGAUGUUUUCUAAAGCAUGGUAUUAUCUGGAGAAUUCCUGAUGACAGACUCACAUUUGCUGUCUUGCUUUCCACUGUGAAAAACCACAAAGGAAAAGCUAUGUAGCAAACUGCUUUGGCUUGCCAUUUGUUAAAAAGAAUGCAGAUCCCUCUGCUGCACAGGCACCACCUCUGGAAUAAAAAAAAACCCCAAAAAUAUUCCUGCAGCAUACUAAGAAAUCCCCAUGAAGUCAAACAGGAGGUUCCCAGAAGUUCAGAAGGCAGGCAUUACCUCUCCUCAAUUCUGACUCUGAAGAAAAGAGAAGUUUUGAUACCCUUCAGCAACAGAAUGUGAUCAACAAGGAUGCAACAAGCAACAGUUUAUUUGUAGAAAAAUCCUUUAAAAUUUACUACAAUGUAAGAUUAAGGAAAAAAUAGUCUUAAUAUAUGUACAUACAAUAUAUAUAAACAAACACUUAUCGCACCAUGAAAAUUACAUGCUUUUUAGAACAGAGAAUGAAUCAUAUUCCCUCAUAUCAAUUUUAAAGUUAUCACUGCAAGAAACCUUGCUUCCUUUUUUUUUUUUUUUUUUAUCCCCAUCAAAGUUUUCAAGUACAGGAAG